rnacentral:rRNA from 1 species
CAGUAGCCACGGUAAUACGGAGGGUGCAAGCGUUAUCCGGAUUUAUUGGGUUUAAAGGGUCCGUAGGCGGAUCUGUAAGUCAGUGGUGAAAUCUCACAGCUUAACUGUGAAACUGCCAUUGAUACUGCAGGUCUUGAGUAAAUUUGAAGUGGCUGGAAUAAGUAGUGUAGCGGUGAAAUGCAUAGAUAUUACUUAGAACACCAAUUGCGAAGGCAGGUCACUAAGAUUUAACUGACGCUGAUGGACGAAAGCGUGGGGAGCGAACAGGAUUAGAUACCCGCGUAGUCCCUGUCUCUUAUAC